AUACGGAGGGUGCGAGCGUUAAUCGGAAUUACUGGGCGUAAAGCGUACGUAGGUGGUUUGUUAAGUCAGAUGUUAAAGCCCCGGGCUCAACCUGGGAACUGCAUUUGAAACUGGCAAACUAGAGUAUGGUAGAGGGGGGUAGAAUUUCUAGUGUAGCGGUGAAAUGCGUAGAUAUUAGAAGGAAUACCAGUGGCGAAGGCGGCCCCCUGGACCAAUACUGACACUGAGGUACGAAAGCGUGCGUAGCGAACAGGAUUAGAAACCCUAGUAGUCC
rnacentral:rRNA from 1 species